rnacentral:tRNA from 1 species
GGGGUUGUGGCUUAGUGGUAGAGUGCUUGCCUAGCAUGCAUGAGGCACUGGGUUCAAUCCUCAGCACCACA